CCUACGGGAGGCAGCAGUAAGGAAUAUUGGUCAAUGGACGAAAGUCUGAACCAGCCAUGCCGCGUGAAGGAUGAAGGUCCUCUGGAUUGUAAACUUCUUUUAUCUGGGACGAAAAAAGGGCUUUCUAGCUCACUUGACGGUACCAGAGGAAUAAGCACCGGCUAACUCCGUGCCAGCAGCCGCGGUAAUACGGAGGGUGCAAGCGUUAUCCGGAUUUACUGGGUUUAAAGGGAGCGUAGGUGGGCAGGUAAGUCAGUGGUGAAAUCUCUGGGCUUAACCCGGAAACUGCCAUUGAUACUAUCUGUCUUGAAUAUCCUGGAGGUAAGCGGAAUAUGUCAUGUAGCGGUGAAAUGCUUAGAUAUGACAUAGAACACCCAUUGCGAAGGCAGCUUACUACGGGAUUAUUGACACUGAGGCUCGAAAGCGUGGGGAUCAAACAGGAUUAGAUACCCUGGUAGUCCACGCCCUAAACGAUGGAUACUCGACAUCAGCGAUACACUGUUGGUGUNUGNGNGAAGANAUAUAUACCACCNGGAGACGACGCGAGUAGAACGACAAGAAGUAGAGNGNGAGAGNGCGACGACGACGACGAGGGAGGAGG
rnacentral:rRNA from 1 species